rnacentral:lncRNA from 10 species
AUUAGAUUGCAGCUCUGACUCAGAGCAGCGUGCGGAGGCUCGCAUUGUGAAUUUUAGCUCCAGAUAAACUUCAAGAACAAACCAGCAAUCCUGAGAGGACCCACAGACCCUCUGAAAAAAGCGGACUGUUCCUGCAACACCCAGGAGACACCCCAAAUACUGUGAGUGACCCAACUGCGGAAGCGGGAAAGGGAGAUCCUCCUCUCCUGAACACACACCCCCACUGGAGAAACUGAAGGUCUGUUUGUGGGAGAGGUUUCUGACCUUACCUGGAGCUGAGUCAAUUUAGAGGGCCAAGCAAAAUACAGGGAGGAAGCAGCAGGUGGGAUCUCGCUGGGUUCCCAAGCAAGUCAUUCCUGCCUGGCACCACAGGGAUCCUCUGGGAGGCAGCCAGAGGAGUAGGGGGAAAUCACCACAGGGAAGAAGGUCUCCAGCUGAACUUUGUAACAAUUUGAACUGGGCAAGAAGCUGAAUCCGGUGUGCAACCUCCACAGAUGAAGAAUCUGAGGCACAAAGAGGUCAACUGGCUUGCCCAAGGGUACUUGGCAGAAGGUGAGCUCUGAUAUAGUGCUUUAGUGCACGGACUCAGAAAGUGGAUGAGGAAGAGUGCAAUAUUGGCAGCAGUAUGCAAUUUCCUUUCUUCUUGUGUGUGACAAACAGCAUAACUUCCUCACUAUAAUCUGGUUUGAAAGUUGAGGACACUGCUCUGGCUAGAGAAUUGACUUUGCUGAUGAGCCUCUGGUCAACAUUUUCAGCUAAGACAUUCAUGAAGCUGUGUAAGAGAGAAAGGCUCAUCACCUUUGCAGAUGACACAAGCCUUUUAUGCGGGAAUCAAAGAAGAACAUGAGAGGCCAGAACACCGGAUUGAAACCAGCAAUUUGACCUUUAAAAGGUAUAAAGUACUGCUUUUAGGUUUAAAUAGUUAACUGCACAAGCCAGAGACACACAGCUUGGUAGCACACUUCUAGCAAAAAAUCCUUUGCUUUUAAUUGACUGCAAGAUCAAUUUAUCUCCGAGUAGCCCAUGAGAGCUAAUACAUGAAACCCAAACUUAGCUUUACUAAUUGGUACAUAGUAGGGGUGCUACUCUUUUCUGCUGGUGUGAAAUCAUAACUGAAAUUUUGGACUCAGUUUCUAAUAAAAAUUUAGGAAGAACCUUAAUCAAUUGUAACUGCAGAAAAAAAAUCACAUGAUUUUGAGUGAAUUAAAUAUCAUGUUUUCUCAUUUUAUAAGCUAUGGUUAAAAAACUGGAUAUAUCCCAGAAAAAUGAAUUUUUAGAAAUUCGGUGGAACUGUGAUCUGAGAAAAUGGUUGUGAAAAUGGGA